CGGACGAGCGAGUAAGGCGUGAGAAUGGGGCAAUAGGAGGGGGAUAUCAUAUUCGAAUCGAGUUUUAAUACCCUCAUAUGCGACAAUGUAUAACCUUGAUGGUCUUAGGAUGAGCUGACCGUAGAUUAGAUAGCCAGCAACGUAACGGCUUAACAAGUCGACGAUCCAUAGCUGGUCUGAGAGGACAAUCAGCCACACUGGGAAUGAGACACGGCCCAGACUCCUACGGGAGGCAGCAGUGGUGAAUUUUCCGCAAUGGGCGAAAGCCUGACGGAGCAAGACCGCGUGAGGGAUGAAGGCCUUUGGGUUGUAAACCUAUUUUGUCAAGGAAGUACACAAUGACGUUACCUGAGGAAUAAGCCUAGGCUACCUCCCAGCCAGCAGCCGCGGUAAGACGGAGGAGGCAAGCGUUAUCCGGAAUUAAUGGGGGUAAAGCGUCCGCCGGCGGCUUUCCAAGUCUGCCGGUAAAGCCCGAGGCUCAACCUCGGAUCAGCGGUGGAAACUGAAUCGCUAGAGUGCGUCAGGGGUAGGGGGAAUUCCCGCAGUAUCGGAGAAAUGUCUAGAUAUCGGGAAGAACCCCACCGACGAAAGUGCCCUACGGGGACGUUAUCCACACUCAUGCAGGAAAGUUAGGGGCGCG
rnacentral:rRNA from 1 species